rnacentral:rRNA from 1 species
GAAGAAAGCUUGGGGCGUGCUUAACACAUGCAAGUCGAACGGAAAGGCCCUGCUUUUGUGGGGUGCUCGAGUGGCGAACGGGUGAGUAACACGUGAGUAACCUGCCCUUGACUUUGGGAUAACUUCAGGAAACUGGGGCUAAUACCGGAUAGGAGCUCCUGCUGCAUGGUGGGGGUUGGAAAGUUUCGGCGGUUGGGGAUGGACUCGCGGCUUAUCAGCUUGUUGGUGGGGUAGUGGCUUACCAAGGCUUUGACGGGUAGCCGGCCUGAGAGGGUGACCGGCCACAUUGGGACUGAGAUACGGCCCAGACUCCUACGGGAGGCAGCAGUGGGGAAUAUUGCACAAUGGGCGGAAGCCUGAUGCAGCAACGCCGCGUGCGGGAUGACGGCCUUCGGGUUGUAAACCGCUUUCGCCUGUGACGAAGCGUGAGUGACGGUAAUGGGUAAAGAAGCACCGGCUAACUACGU